rnacentral:lncRNA from 1 species
GAAGUUUAUUAACACCAAUAAUUUGAUAAGUGAAAAUCAGAUUGGCUUCAAAGAAAAAGCUAGAACAGCAGAUCAUAUCUUCUCAUUAAAGUCUAUUGUAGACAAAUAUAAAACUAAAAAAAAGAAAAUUUUUGCAGCAUUUAUAGAUCUGCGAAAAGCCUUUGAUACUGUCUGGAGGGAGGGUUUAUUCUACAUUCUACUCCAAAACAGACUUCCAGGCAAACUUUUUAACGUCAUCCAAUCAAUGUAUAAUGACAACAAAUGCAGAAUUAAAUUUCAAAAUGGUAUUAGCCAUGAAUUUAUAUCAAAUUGCGGAGUAAAACAAGGGGAUGUACUUAGCCCCACUUUGUUUAAUAUUUAUAUAAAUGGCCUUGUAAAUGACCUUGAUCAUGCAAACACUCAACCAAUUAUUAUAGGAGAUGUUAAACUAACAUCAUUAUUAUAUGCAGAUGACAUUAUUUUAUUGUCUGAAACCCAAGA